rnacentral:rRNA from 1 species
GACGAACGCUGGCGGCGUGCCUAAUACAUGCGAGUGGAACGCUGAAGAGAGGAGCUUCCUCUUCUUGGAUGAGUUGCGAACGGGUGAGUAACGCGUAGGUAACCUGCCUUGUAGCGGGGGAUAACUAUUGGAAACGAUAGCUAAUACCGCAUAACAAUGGAUGACACAUGUCAUUUAUUUGAAAGGGGCAAUUGCUCCACUACAAGAUGGACCUGCGUUGUAUUAGCUAGUAGGUGAGGUAAUGGCUCACCUAGGCGACGAUACAUAGCCGACCUGAGAGGGUGAUCGGCCACACUGGGACUGAGACACGGCCCAGACUCCUACGGGAGGCAGCAGUAGGGAAUCUUCGGCAAUGGGGGCAACCCUGACCGAGCAACGCCGCGUGAGUGAAGAAGGGUUUCGGAUCGUAAAGCUCUGUUGUAAGUCAAGAACGGGUGUGAGAGUGGAAAGUUCACACUGUGACGGUAGCUUACCAGAAAGGGACGGCUAACUACGUG